rnacentral:rRNA from 1 species
AACGGCCGUACCAUGCUGAAUAUACCGGUUCUCGUUAGAUCACCGAAGUUAAGCAUCAUUGGGCGCGGUCAGUACUUGGGUGGGUGACCACUUGGGAACAUUGCGUGCCGUU